rnacentral:rRNA from 1 species
UACAGAGGGGCAAGCGUUAUUCGGAAUUAUUGGGCGUAAAGGGCGCGUAGGCGGCCAUUCUAAGUGACGGGUGAAAGCCCUCGGCUUAACCAACGGAACUGCCUGUCAGACUGGAUGGCUUGAGAACCGGGAGAGGUGAGUGGAAUUCCGAGUGUAGCGGUGAAAUUCGUAGAUAUUGGGAAGAACACCGGUGGCGAAGGCGGCUAUCUGGCCCGUAAUUGGACGCUGAGACGCGAAAGCGGUGGGGAGCAAACAGGG